AACGAACGCUGGCGGCAGGCUUAACACAUGCAAGUCGAACGCCCCGCAAGGGGAGUGGCAGACGGGUGAGUAACGCGUGGGAAUCUACCUAGUUCUACGGAACAACAGUUGGAAACGACUGCUAAUACCGUAUACGCCCUACGGGGAAAGAUUAUCGGAAUUAGAUGAGCCCGCGUAAGAUUAGCUAGUUGGUGAGGUAA
rnacentral:rRNA from 1 species